rnacentral:rRNA from 1 species
GUGGGGAAUAUUCCGCAAUGGGCGAAAGCCUGAUCCAGCCAUGCCGCGUGUGUGAAGAAGGUCUUCGGAUUGUAAAGCACUUUAAGUUGGGAGGAAGGGCAGUAAGUUAAUACCUUGCUGUUUUGACGUUACCUACAGAAUAAGCACCGGCUAACUUCGUGCCAGCAGCCGCGGUAAUACGAAGGGUGCAAGCGUUAAUCGGAAUUACUGGGCGUAAAGCGCGCGUAGGUGGUUUUGUAAGUUGGAGGUGAAAUCCCCGGGCUCAACCUGGGAACUGCCUCCAAAACUGCAUGACUAGAGUACGGUAGAGGGUAGUGGAAUUUCCUGUGUAGCGGUGAAAUGCGUAGAUAUAGGAAGGAACACCAGUGGCGAAGGCGACUACCUGGACUGAUACUGACACUGAGGUGCGAAAGCGUGGGGAGCAAACAGGAUUAGAUACCCGGGUAGUCC